rnacentral:rRNA from 1 species
UACGUAGGUGGCAAGCGUUGUCCGGAUUUAUUGGGCGUAAAGCGAGUGCAGGCGGUUCAAUAAGUCUGAUGUGAAAGCCUUCGGCUCAACCGGAGAAUUGCAUCAGAAACUGUUGAACUUGAGUGCAGAAGAGGAGAGUGGAACUCCAUGUGUAGCGGUGGAAUGCGUAGAUAUAUGGAAGAACACCAGUGGCGAAGGCGGCUCUCUGGUCUGCAACUGACGCUGAGGCUCGAAAGCAUGGGUAGCGAACA